GCAAUUAGUCUCCAGAAGGCUAUUUGUCAGAUUUGACUGGCCAUCCACUUGCAUCACCCGCCACCUAGCUUGCAUUACAACUGGACUUUUCCUGCAACAGGGAAACUACAAGCCCAACAAAAGAGCAGCUGCUUGAAAACCAUACGGAUCAUAGUGGACUACAAUGUACAGUAGCAGCAUGCCAUUGAGGACACCAGACAAAGUUCCAACACCUUUGCUGAGCAGAGAGAGGAUCUGAGGUGAACAAUAUGAUGAAAAUCAGUACUAAGAUCCUGUGCAGGGAUCCCUCUGCAAGAGGCCCACAGAACAUCAUCAAGGGCCACCAGUGAAGGCUCCAUGAUGGGCUUCCUGUCUGUAGCACAUACAGUGGGG